rnacentral:lncRNA from 1 species
AUGCGAAAGCAUCAAUUAAAGUGAAUGCUCAAACUGUUUAUAAUGCUUAUAAACAGGCGUUAGAGCAUGCUAGGCCUAAUAUUCCAACCCCUACUUAGUCUACAUCACAGUCGUCUAAAAGAGCUGCUGGCUUAACAACUCUUAAGUCGUGGACGGAGUUCAGGGGUACUCAAGGGGAAAAUUUAGAUGAAAUUUCCCAUCUAAAUGAGCUUCAAGUUUAUUUGUCGCAGGGACUAGAGAAUGAGAAUCCAGACGGCUC